rnacentral:lncRNA from 1 species
UUACACAAAUACUGAUAAAUAUAUAUAUAAAUAAAAUAAAAUAAAAACAAUAUGAAUACCAUGAGGUGGGUAUGCUUGUAUACUGCCAUAUUCAAGCUAUCAAAUUUUAAUGGUUACACAAAAUUAAACCUCUGAUAAUACUUGUAAGAUCAUAUUCGAUGUGAAAAAUAAAUCUUACUGUUUUUUAUGAGUUAAGAACCAAAAAAGUACAGGCAUCAAGCAGUUACUAACCCAUGUAGGCUAAGGAUUACAUAACAAAUUAGUCAAAUCUACCAAACAAGUAAGUGUGAAACCAUGCAUCUAAAAGCUCCGGCAAGCAUGAAUCUAACCCCUUCAGAAGCCCAUCUAUCUCUUUCCCUCCCAAUAAAAAAAGGGGUGGAGAGAGAGAGAGAGAGAGAGGAAGGUAAUAAUCUNUAAGGAGAGAGAGAGAGAGAGAGAGAGGGAAAUUAAAUCUCACUUCACUACAGUCUGCAUAAGCAUAACCAUCCCAACCCCUAACCUGCCACUACCAAGAGAUGCCCAACCAGUGCAAGCUAAAGGCCAAAGCUGUCUCGGCCAUGAGCAAUUGAAAAGAAGAUAAUGAGCAUUGCACUGCUGCCUUACAUACAAAGCAUCCACUAAAUAUGAAUUUCCCCUCUUUUUGAGGUUAUAAAUGGUUAAUAUUCCUUCCCAAGAUGAUUCCCUUUAGUAAAAGAAGCAAACUGAAAACUGAGAAAAGGCAAAUUUCACCUCCUUGCAGUCUAUUGUUUUUGAAAUUUGAUGUAUCUUGCUUCAUUUAUUCUUUCAUUGAUAAGGAAAACUAAUACAGAUGGGAAAUAAGAAUAGAGAUAAUCAUACAUC